CCCUUGGUCGUAAAUCACCAGCCUGCCUCGACUAAUGAUUCUUCUGCAUAAUUUCUCAUAUUAAUUCUCUGGUUAUCUCAUAAUAAGUUAUCUCUAUGAAUGAGGACUGGUGGCAUGUUCGAAAGCAAAGUUUAAGCACUAAACUGGGAGAACAUAUUAGUACUAUUAUUGCUACUUCUCAAGCUUUUAUUUUUGUGGAGGGGUGAUUCAGCUACAUAGGUGUUCUGACCAAUGCGCUUCUACUGCUUGCUGGGAACUUUCUACUUCUGAAGCUUUUAUUGUUGAAGACUUCAUUUACUCGCAUGAUGAAAGAGAUGAUUUAUCUUCAGUUGAUGAGAAUUCGAUGUUUUGGCAAUUGCAGUUGUGCUCAUUUAAGUUUUAGGCACUUGCCUUGCUUGUUUCUGUACCUUUCAGUAUCUUUCUCUUUUGCCGCAGUUUCUGCUUUCGUUUGGUGAUCGUAUGGUGUAGGCUUUCAUAAUUAUUUAAACAUUAAACUUCUUUAUUGACUUAGAUGCUAAUGGGAAUAUUCUAAGCUGGCACUUGCCAUUGAUGAA